AAAGGAAUAGACGGGGACCCGCACAAGCAGCGGAGCAUGUUGUUUAAUUCGAAGAAACGCGAAAAACCUUACCAAGACUUGACAUUUGAUGCAUAUCUAAGAAAUUAGAGAAGUUAUAGCAAUAUAACAUCAAAACAGAUGGUGCAUGGUUGUCGUCAGCUCGUGUCGUGAGAUGUUGGGUUAAGUCCCGCAACGAGCGCAACCCUUGUCAAUAGUUGCCAGCAUUAAGUUGGGGACUCUAUUGAGACUGCCGUAGAUAAUACGGAGGAAGGUGAGGAUGACGUCAAAUCAUCAUGCCUCUUACGUCUUGGGCUACAAACGUGCUACAAUGGCCACCACAAAGAGAAGCAAAGCGGUAACGUGGAGCAAACCUCAAAAAAGUGGCCCCAGUUCAGACUGAGGGCUGAAACUCGCCCUCACGAAGACGGAGUUGCUAGUAAUCCCAAAUCAGCAUGUUGGGGUGAAUGCGUUCCCGGGUCUUGUACACACCGCCCGU
rnacentral:rRNA from 1 species